AAGUGCGGGCGGUGAUGAGAGCGAAAGUUGCGCUCGGCUCGGCGCUGGGGGCUUGAAGCGGCCCCGCGCUCCGCCCGCCUGGGCCGCCCCCAGCCCCCGCCGCGCCCGCCCGGCCCCGCGCCCGCCGAACCCCCCGUCCCGUUCCGGCGCCCCCUCCUCAGGAGCCGGGGUCCCCGUCACUCUCGCGCGGCCCGGGCCCCCGCUGAUGCCGACCAUGGUGGAGAAGGGCCCCGAGGUGUCAGGGAAGCGGAGAGGGAGGAACAACGCGGCCAGCGCCGCCGCCUCGACCGCCCCCGCCUCGGCCGCCUCGGCCGCCGCAGUCUCCGCCGCCGCCGCCGCCGCCGCCGCCUCCUCGGCCGCCUCGGCCGCCGCCCCCAAUAAUGGGCAGAAUAAAAGUUUGGCGGCGGCGGCGCCCAAUGGCAACAGCAGCAGCAACUCCUGGGAGGAAGGCAGCUCGGGCUCGUCCAGCGACGAGGAGCACGCCAAAUUAGCAAGACGCAGUCAAGAACGAGACAAUCUUGGCAUGCUGGUCUGGUCGCCUAAUCAGAAUCUAUCAGAAGCAAAACUGAGGAUGAACUGGAAGAAGCAAAUGGAAACAAUCCCAUUGACCUUGAGAUUGAUCAGAACAAGGAAAGCAAAAAGGAGGUGCCCCCUGCUGAGACAGUCCCUCAGAUCAAGAAAGAAAAGCAUAGCACCCAAGCCAAGAACAGAGCCAAGAGGAAACCUCCGAAAGGGAUGUUCCUCUCCCAAGAAGACGUGGAGGCCGUGUCUGCAAACGCCACCGCGGCCACCACGGUGCUGCGCCAGCUGGACAUGGAGCUGGUCUCCAUCAAGCGCCAGAUUCAGAACAUUAAACAGACCAACAGUGCUCUCAAAGAAAAACUCGACGGUGGAAUUGAGCUGUACCGACUUCCUGAGGCUGCUUCUGUUCUUGACGUCAGAUAUGCAUCUGCCUCCUGAGAAACGCAGGCAGCUUCCGCACGUGGUAUGGGCGUCUGUGUUCCCGGACAUCAGGUAUGACAAGGCUUCGCCUAGCCAUCUGCUCACAUCUGUGGACAAGCAGCUAUUACCAAAAACAGCAACACUUCCGGUCCUGUGCUACAUCUGCCUUAAUUCUUUGCUCGUUCCUCCAUGUUGGCGCCACUUCCCGGAGAGCUCCGUGCAUCUCGCUCGGUCUACGUGCUGGGAUCUUGUGGCUGCACGGCGCCCUGGCCCUGGGGCCGCUUCCCCAGGCAGAGCUCCGGGCCCCCCAUGGCAGCUCUCCCCAUCCGUCCGCAGCUUCCGAGCAGGUGGCCGACUGGAAGGCACGCCUCUUCCUGCAUGGCCUGGAUCGCUCCUCUGUGCAUCAUGUCGUUCUCAGCAACUGGACCUGUUGGCCUUCUGGGGGGGGUCUCCGGUUCCGUUCGGAGGCCCCCACCUGAGAUCAUGUUUCUGAUGUCACCGUGUGUGCAGACUGCACUGUCCCCUUCAUCGUGCCAAACGCCCCGAUUCGAUCCUGUUCCCCGGAACAGGUGCAAUGAUGGCUGAUGAAUCUAGUUGGCGUUGACCCCUCCUUCUGCCUUCCGGCUGGUAGAAAGCUGGUUCGCAGCAGCUCUCUUUGGACACGUAGCUUAAAAGGAACGUGGACUCCAUCCUCUGCCUUCAGCUCUCAGCAUCGCAGCCCCGGGAUGGAUGCCGCCCUCUUUUCCCGGCUCCCCCCAACCAGCUCCAGGAAAUUUGGUCCGUGCCCUGCACUGGUGCUUGUACACUUGGACUUGGUGCCUUCUCCUCGGGCCGCGCAUUCUCAGUCCCGUUUCUGCUUCAGCGUCGUAGCUCUUUCACGUCCAUUGCUUGCCAAAGAUGACACCACCGGGUGUGAGAGCCGCCGCCGGCCUGAGGGGCAGGCAGUCCGCACGGGAACAGAGUAGCCGGGAGGGUUUCUAAAAGUGCACGUUGCUCCCCUCCUCCUGGGCAGCCUGGCUUCUCCCUGUCACUCCACACCCCUUGGUCCUCAGGCCCUGCCCUCUCCCACAGCGUAGCACAGAGCGAGGCGGGAGCAGGUGGCCGGUGCUGAUGAGCCCACGGAGAGCACACAGCCGCAGUGGGUGCACUGCCUCUGGUUGGCCUGGGAGCCAGUGAAACUUCUAAUGAGCGUCCUGAGGCUCCCAGCGUCGCUGCGUCGCUGCUGCCCUGCGCCCGGAGCUGCUGCCCUGCGCCCGGAGCUGCUGCGGGCUGGGGGAGCCUGGCGGCCGAGCCGCUGCAGGAGCUGCCUGUGGUCCUCCCGCCAGGUGAACACUUUCCUGCUUUCGAUACCAAAAAAGAGAAGUGCGAGGCUUUAAGGCACGGAGGCAAUUCUUAAGAAUUUGAAAUAUGCAAUUAAAAUUGGAUGUGUUUUGACGCAAGCACCUUGCCUUUUUUAAGUCAGCUGAUUUUAGGAAGAGGGUCAGCUAGAAUCAUAGCUUGUUUGGAAUUGGACCUUUUGUUUAAAGGAACCUGGACAAAGGUUGUUCGGAAGGGGCAGUAAGAUGGGACUUUCUGAGCUCGCCGCCUCUGUCCCUGCACUGGGAAUCCACGCAGGUGAGCGCAGUCGGGAGGCAGAGGGCAGUCCAGCCACGGUCCUGCCUGGGCAGGGAGCGAGAUAACACUAGGAAGCACGCACGCUUGGUUUUCUCUGCAUCGCAAGCCUGCUGUGUCAUUGCAAGCGCAGGGGACCAUGGGGAGGGGUCAUACUUUUGCACAUCGCAGUAAGGGACACAGCCUGGGCAGGGGCUUUAGGCUCCUUGCUGCUUCUCAUGGUCUCCUUCCUCCCGGCCUCCUUCAUUCCCGACCUCCUUCCUCCCUGGCCUCCUUCCUCCCUGGCCUCCUUCCUCCCUGGCCUCCCUCUUCCCGGCCUCCUUCCUCCCUGGCCUCCUUCCUCCCUGAUCUCCUUCCUCCCGGCCUCCUUCCUCCCCGGCCUCGUUCCUUCCUGAGGCAGCAGGGGCCUCCUGCAGGGGCUCUCCCUCUGCCAGCAGGUUGUCCUCCCCUUGGCCCAGGCUGUGUUCCUUGGGAACUGGUCCCUGGCCGCAGGGAGCUCGGUGCCCGUCCUGCAGCGAGUCAGGGCCAGGUCUCGGCUUGCUCAGCACCACGUGCUCUUUGGUCUUCACCUGCUUCGGCGCCACCGCACUAGUCUUCCCGCGGCACCACCGCUGACAUGGGCUCUGUCUCCGAGGAAAAGGGGCCCGUGGUUUCCAUUGGCCAGAAGGAAGUGACGUCGUCUUGGCCUGGCUGCUUCCGCCCGUGUCACACCUAAGAGAGCACUGUGUGCUCAGCUGUUCUUACACUGUCUUUGCAAUGAUGUAAAUGCAAGAAACCACUUGGCUGACAGCGAGUGACUGGUCUUACCGAUGUGAAGACCCUUUUAAACAUAUCAAGACUUCGGUGCAUCACAGGUGUGCGUGGGGUGGGAGGUCAGGGACCGUGUUCCCUCAGCUUUGUCUUAAAGAGUAUCAAUGUGAAUGUCAUAAUUAUAUAUUUUUGUGGAAGAUUUCUCCUAAGUAUAAGUUAUUGUGCAAAAUAUAGUACCAUUGAAACAAAUGAUAGUUUUAGUUUAGAAAUCCUAAAAGAUAUAAAUUGUAUUACAUAUGCAUUAAAAGUUUGUUUUAUUUAAUUUUAUGUAGCUGUGUAAAGUGUUAGGUAAAGUUUUUCUCACUUCUCCAUUGAAACACCUUGUUACUUGAAUGUCGUGCUGGCUGGUUUGAAACAGUGAUCAGUUCCGUAAUGUAGCUCUUACCCAGGGAGCCGCCGCCUCCGGGACUGGUGAGUGCGGCCAGGAGCCGAGGUCGGGCGGCACCGCUGAGCAGGCUCGCUGUGUGUGCCACCCAGACGCCAGUCCCGUGAAAUGCUUUGAUAGUUUUUAACCUGUAAGACCCUUUGAUGCUCACAAACCUCUAAUCAGAACAUGAGUAUGAAAACACAAUUGGUUUACAACUUGACUCUGCAGGACAAAGUAAGCAGUUUCCUGCGUGUAUAAAGUUUCCUCAACUAUCACGCGCCUGUAAGUGUGCUCAUUGUCACUUUAAAUUCCUACUCCCCCCUAUUUUUGUCUUUCUGAAUAUCAGAUGUACUGUUGGUAUAACCGUGCACCAAAAAUAAGCCACCAGUGCGUCCCACUGGCCGGACCUGCCGGGGCACAGGAGGUGGAGCCGCCGUCCUCUUGCUGAACCCUAGGACCCAGGAUUCAAGCUUUUGUUCUGUUUUUAUGCAUUAUUUUAUUUAUAUUCAUAUCUGAAUCCCAAAUUUAUAAAAUAGCUCUAAACCUGUAUUCCACAACUAAACAUGACACUUUAAGUUAUUACCGUUACGCCAUCGAUGAGUUCGUUUUCAAGCCACCGAACCGUGUGCCAGAGGGUCUUUCCUCUGCUUUGCAGGUAACGGCAUUGCCACCAACUGUGUUCUUCAUGGUUUGGGCCCUUUGGCCAAAAAGGCGUAUAGGUCUUGUUUCAGGUUCAUUGUAGGAUGAUGGAGAGCAGCGAUUUCAGUGGUGGUUCCAUCGUCCGCCUCGGGAGUCCUGAAGCCUUCUUGUCCUUUUACCGGCUCCAUAUGGAGCGUAGCACCACCCUCGGCCCAGCGAAGCGGCCUGCCCAGAGCAGAGAGCGCCCUUGGCUGCUUCACGAGCUUCCCUCCCCACCAGCCAGACCCGUCCCGCCGGGCUCUGCUCUUGUUUCCCGAUGAGAAGGGGCUGGGGCGCCUUCCUCGGUGGUGGAGCCUCAUUGGACCCCAUCAGCCGCUCACGCGCCCUUCACACGCGGACUUGGCUUUUAUCGUCAUGAGCCGAAAGAUGCCUCGCACUGUUCUGGGAAUAAUGCCCAUGCCUCUGGGCCAUGACGUUUUCCCUCCGCUGUUGUCUUCCCAGAGGAUGUCUGUCCACGCAAACACGGUUCCCUCAUUCCCCUCCAGGACACGCUUCACCGCCCUCGGCGCAGCCCGGUCCGGAGACGCGCUGGACUGGAAGGCCCGGGCCAGUGCACACGGCUGGGCGCCAUCAGGACCGCGUCUUCUGACACUUGGGGGUGAACCGCUCAGUCCUGGAGGAAGCAGGUGGUGGCAGCGGGUCCAGGGCCUCAAGGCUGAGAGUGAUCCGCGCUGGCUCCCCCGCACCGGCCUGGGCAGACUGCAGGGCCCAGGGGUUCUGGAGGUUGGGAAGGUGGUUCCCUCCUUCCUCGGAGAGGGCAGAGCCCCCACUUCUCCCCACCCCACCGUCUGCUUGCCGGCUGCCCCACCCCUACCCCCACCCCCAGGCACUCCUAAAGCCCAGACUCCGGCUUUUAAUCAUGUGCAGCUUUGCCUCAAGCCGAGGCCUGCGAGGCCCAGCAGCGGGCACCCCUGCGCCUGCGCCCGCCUUUCCUCACCAGCUGAAGCACAGCCGCCUGCUCAGCGGAUGCCCCGUCGGUGCUCCCAGCCACCGGUGUGCACAGGCCCCUCCCGGAGCCGACAGCCCGCACAGGCCCAGCUCGGCCGAGUGCUUUGUAAGUUGCUAAAAACUUCAGGAUUUUAAAAGAUGUGCAAGGCUAAGUUUGACACGAUCGUCGAAUUGCUGUAUAUCUUUUCAAGUGAUGAAGCCCGCCUGGGGAUUUUAAAGAAAAGAAGCUGCACUCUGCUGUGUGAGGAAUAUUUGACUGUCUCCGCCUGUUUUCUGUCUCAGUACUCAUGAUUAUGGUGACUGUUCAUAGCAUGAUCAUUGCUUAGCCGUCGGAGGAUAACAUUUGUUAGUGGAGAUCGGGAAAAUUUAUUUGUGCGAUUCUGCAGAGUUCAUUUUUCUAUUCCCAAUAUUUGCUGAAGUUAAAUAAAAAUUUUCAAGCCAUUGAUGUAAUAAAA